rnacentral:misc_RNA from 1 species
UGAGCACUAUUCGGUUUGAACCGAAUAAACCAAACUGAAACGCCUUAAUUCAGUAAUUCGGUUUAGUUUUUAAGAUAAUUUGGUUCAGUUUGGUUCACUUUUACAUUCUAAAAAUUUUGAUUAUUUUAGCUCGAUUCGAUUUUAAAAAGAAAAAAAUCGAUUGAACUAAACCGAACCGAAUUACUUGAUUAAUUUUUAAGUUGAUUUAUUUUUAUAGGAAAUUUAUGAAUUAUAUGUAAUUUUAUAUAUAUAAAUUGUUU